rnacentral:rRNA from 1 species
GACGAACGCUGGCGGCGUGCUUAACACAUGCAGGUCGAACGGAAAGGCCCUGCUUUUGUGGGGUGCUCGAGUGGCGAACGGGUGAGUAACACGUGAGUAACCUGCCCUUGACUUUGGGAUAACUUCAGGAAACUGGGGCUAAUACCGGAUAGGAGCUCCUGCUGCAUGGUGGGGGUUGGAAAGUUUCGGCGGUUGGGGAUGGACUCGCGGCUUAUCAGCUUGUUGGUGGGGUAGUGGCUUACCAAGGCUUUGACGGGUAGCCGGCCUGAGAGGGUGACCGGCCACAUUGGGACUGAGAUACGGCCCAGACUCCUACGGGAGGCAGCAGUGGGGAAUAUUGCACAAUGGGCGGAAGCCUGAUGCAGCAACGCCGCGUGCGGGAUGACGGCCUUCGGGUUGUAAACCGCUUUCGCCUGUGACGAAGCGUGAGUGACGGGAAUGGGUAAAGAAGCACCGGCUAACUACGU